rnacentral:rRNA from 1 species
UGCGUAGGCGGAUUUAUAAGUCAGUGGUGAAAUCCUACAGCUUAAUUGUAGAACUGCCAUUGAUACUGUAGAUCUUGAGUACGGUUGAGGUGGGCGGAAUGUGUCAUGUAGCGGUGAAAUGCUUAGAUAUGACACAGAACACCAAUUGCGAAGGCAGCUCGCUAAACCGUAACUGACGCUGAGGCACGAAAGCGUGGGGAGCGAACAGGAUUAGAUACCCUGGUAGUCC